GCCCGGGUGGUGAAACAGGUAGACACAACGGACUUAAAAUCCGUCGCCCUUUAACAAGGCGUACCGGUUCGAUUCCGGUCCCGGGUACCA
rnacentral:tRNA from 1 species